rnacentral:lncRNA from 1 species
AAGCUGUUGUCCGUGUGUUAUUGCUUACAAAUGAUUCUCCAUCAACAUUGAUUAUGGUGACCGAGGGAUCGAGAACCGAGGGGAUUAGAGUCCAUUACAACAUUAACCCUUUCAGCUUGGUGUCUAGAAGUGGGAUAGAUAGAAGUUGGAUCAGCAAAACCAUUGCGGUGAGUAGCCUUUUUGUGUCUUAUUUGACGCUGAUUGUCUAUGACCCCAGUUUGGUUCAGUAAGUCUGUAUCCAGUAGAUAGGAAAGGUGUAAGGACUCUAGUUAUAUUGAGACCAUGAGAGGUCUCCGGUUUAUUAGACAUUUGGUCUAAAUAUAUAUAGGGGUUCUUGGUAACCCAGGUUAGUAUCUAAGAUAGAUACAGGUUUUUGAGACCAUAAGAGGUCUCCGGUUUAUUAUAGGGUUUUGGUAACCCAGGUUAGUAUCUAAGAUAGAUACAGGGUAUCUCAGGUAGAUACAGGUUUUUGAGACCAUAAGAGGUCUCCGGUUUAUUAAGUCUAUAGGUGUUCUGAGCAGCAUGGUUUGUAGAUCUUUAAGUAUAACCCAAACUUCUCUUUCUCCCGGUCACCUUUGUUUGUCUUAAGUGUUUUUUGUGGGUGAUUGAUUGUCUAUAUUGGGGACACACUUUGGUAAGUUAGUAGUGUCCCCACUCUGAAUCAGCAGUAUGGGAAAUGUGAGUUCAUGUCCUGAGUGACCAAUAUAUGUACAUGUAUAUGUGUGUGUAUGUAUAUAUGUGUAUAUGUAUGUAUAUAUGUGUGUGUAUAUGUAUAUGUGUAUAUAUAAGAUAGCAGUACUUUUAAACAAAUGGAGGUUUUAAAAAUACAUAGGGAUUAAGGAGAGAACGCAGGUAACUUGUUUUUCUUUGGUUUUUACCAUAUAUUGGGGCUGAUGUGUACUGUAGUCCUUGCUGCUGUCCAGUGGUGAUGGGAGUGAGCGCAGGACUUAUCUUUCUGCAAGAUAGCAGUACUGUAUAUUAGAAAAGAAAUGACUCAUAGGUUGUACCUGAUAGACCUACUUAAAUCUUUUUACUUUAUUCUUUCUGUCGCAUAGAAGUAUAAGUUUAUUACUCUGUUUUAUUGUAAGUUAUUUCACAUGGGAUCUAUGUGCCUGGUAUGAUUGUUGCUUUAAAAAUACUAUAAGCCCACUACACUUAUUAUGAGAGUGGGAUAGUGUAAAUGUGUUGCAUUGUUUGCAUGAUGAGCUCAGUAUAUUUUAUAACUGAGACAAAAAGUCAC